rnacentral:rRNA from 1 species
UACGGGGGGAGCAAGCGUUGUUCGGAUUUACUGGGCGUAAAGGGCGCGUAGGCGGUCAGCACAAGUCAGUUGUGAAAUCUCCGGGCUUAACUCGGAAAGGUCAACUGAUACUGUGCGACUAGAGUGCGGAAGGGGCAACUGGAAUUCUCGGUGUAGCGGUGAAAUGCGUAGAUAUCGAGAGGAACACCUGUGGCGAAAGCGGCGCACUGGACCACAACUGACGCUGAGGCGCGAAAGCUAGGGGAGCAAACAGG